GGUGGAUGUGUGGCUCUGAGCAUCCCUCAGUGGCAGCAGGUCGAAAAGGGGGGGAGGGGGCCCUUAUAGGAAUGCAUGGCCCUUUCAGUUCCCCCACCUCCUUUUUUUUAGCCCUUUUUUCUCCCUUUCCUCCCCCCGUGGAGAUUAGGUGUCACUGCUCCUGUGUGCGUCGUGUUCGAACCCUGCUGUAAAAACUAAAAAAAAAAUAAAUUAAAAAAAGGAGUGAAGAAGUUGCUUUGUUUGUUGGGAUGACCUCUGAGACGAACCGACCAGAACAGAAAAAUGCUUCAGUUUGCGUGGAUUUAUGAAGCAGUUUGAGAGAUUUCUUUGUCAAAGCGAGUCUUUAAAAAUAAAGCAGAAGAAGACGUGAGCCACUUGACUGUGUGAAAUCCUCUCUGAGUGAAGAACGUGACUUGUUUGGGCUCGCUCGCAAUACUGGCUGGGAAAUCCUGGAAUGUGUGGAAUGGGGGACGGUGGUGCUUCUGCAGAGUUAUCUGACUGCACAGAGCAGCAGUGGAGCCCAACAUGUCAGUGUGUGUUUGUGUGUGUGUGUGUGUGUGUGUGUGUGUGUGCAGCUUUGAGUGUGAAUCUGUGAAUACAAGCUGAUUGCACUUUAUUAAUUAAAAAGCCAAAUCUCAUCAAAGAAGUGUUUUUGCUGCAGCUCAUGUUCAGAAAUGAUUUGGACUCCCCUCAAAUGAUUUCCUUUAAAUAAACAAAUCAAAACCUCA